UCGGGGACAAUGGUGACAGGUGGUGCAUGGUUGUCGUCAGCUCGUGUCGUGAGAUGUUGGGUUAAGUCCCGCAACGAGCGCAACCCCUAUCCUUAGUUGCCAGCAUUCAGUUGGGCACUCUAGGGAGACUGCCGGUGACAAACCGGAGGAAGGUGGGGAUGACGUCAAAUCAUCAUGCCCCUUAUGAGUUGGGCUACACACGUGCUACAAUGGACGGUACAAAGGGCAGCGAGACCGCGAGGUGGAGCCAAUCCCAUAAGGCCGUUCCCAGUUCGGAUUGCAGGCUGCAACUCGCCUGCAUGAAGUCGGAAUCGCUAGUAAUCGCAGGUCAGCAUACUGCGGUGAAUACGUUCCCGGGUCUUGUACACACCGCCCGUCACACCACGAGAGUUUGCAACACCCGAAGCCGGUGAGUAA
rnacentral:rRNA from 1 species